rnacentral:rRNA from 2 species
AACGUAGGAGACGAACGUUAUCCGGAGUUACUGGGCGUAAAGGGCGUGUAGGCGGUCUGAUAAGUUCGGCGUGAAAUUUCCCGGCUUAACCGGGGGAUGUCGUCGGAGACUGUCGGACUAGAGGGUGAUAGAGGCGUGUGGAAUUCCGGGUGUAGUGGUGAAAUGCGUAGAGAUCCGGAGGAACACCAGUGGCGAAGGCGACACGCUGGGUCACACCUGACGCUAAAACGCGACAGCAUGGGGAGCAAACGGG